CCUACGGGCGGCUGCAGUGGGGAAUAUUGCACAAUGGGCGCAAGCCUGAUGCAGCCAUGCCGCGUGUGUGAAGAAGGCCUUCGGGUUGUAAAGCACUUUCAGCGGGGAGGAAGGCGUUAAGGUUAAUAGCCUUGGCGAUUGACGUUACCCGCAGAAGAAGCACCGGCUAACUCCGUGCCAGCAGCCGCGGUAAUACGGAGGGUGCAAGCGUUAAUCGGAAUUACUGGGCGUAAAGCGCACGCAGGCGGUCUGUCAAGUCGGAUGUGAAAUCCCCGGGCUCAACCUGGGAACUGCAUUCGAAACUGGCAGGCUAGAGUCUUGUAGAGGGGGGUAGAAUUCCAGGUGUAGCGGUGAAAUGCGUAGAGAUCUGGAGGAAUACCGGUGGCGAAGGCGGCCCCCUGGACAAAGACUGACGCUCAGGUGCGAAAGCGUGGGGAGCAAACAGGAUUAGAUACCCGAGUAGUC
rnacentral:rRNA from 1 species